rnacentral:rRNA from 1 species
CCCAGACUCCUACGGGAGGCAGCAGUGGGGGAUAUUGCACAAUGGGGGGAACCCUGAUGCAGCGACGCCGCGUGGGUGAAGAAGUAUUUCGGUAUGUAAAGCCCUAUCGGCAGGGAAGAAUUUAGACGGUACCUGACUAAGAAGCCCCGGCUAACUACGUGCCGGCAGCCGCGGUAAUACGUAGGGGGCAAGCGUUAUCCGGAUUCACUGGGUGUAAAGGGAGCGUAGACGGCCAUGCAAGCCUGGAGUGAAAGCCCGGGGCCCAACCCCGGGACUGCUCUGGGAACUGUGCGGCUGGAGUGCGGGAGGGGCAGGCGGAAUUCCUGGUGUAGCGGUGAAAUGCGUAGAUAUCAGGAGGAACACCGGCGGCGAAGGCGGCCUGCUGGACCGCGACUGACGUUGAGGCUCGAAAGCGUGGGGAGCAAACAGGAUUAGAUACCCCAGUA